rnacentral:lncRNA from 1 species
ACCACCACUGUCUUCGUUCUCUAUUGUUGCCAUGACAAAUUACCAUAGACUCCGUGGCCCAGCAGACAGUGCUGCAGGUCAGAAGUCCCUGCGGUCUCCCCGGGCUAAAGUGAGGGGUCGGCAGGGCUGGCUCCUUCCAGAGACUCUGGGGAGCAUCUGUUUCUUGCCUUUAUCCAGCUUCUAGAAGUGCCCGCAUUCCUUGGCUCACGGCCCCUCCUCCAUGUUGAAAGCUGGCAACGUGGCCUCUCUCUGCCUUUCCUCCAUGGUCACAUCUCCCCCUGACCACCGCCGGGAAAGCCCUCCACUUUUCAGGACCCAGGUUCCGGGUUUAGGAUGCGGACAUCUUCCUGCCUCUCUGCCGGCCCCUCUCCCAGCUGAGGACAGCGCUUUACCAGCAGGAGCAGAGCAGUCCCACCACCACCACUGCGUCCCUGGGCUCUGUGCUCUGUGUUCUGCACUGGUCUCACCUGAGACCCCGGCACAUGCAGACGCCUCACUGAGCUGGUUCUUUUACUCGUCCAAAAGGAUCGUUUACGUGCUGCUCCCAGACAAGAUGAAACAGUCUGCUCUCAGCGGCCGGGCAGAGAAAAGGCUCCCACCCAUACCCGCUCCCAUGACCCACAUCCUGGCCCACCCCCUCCUAUGAUCCCACACACGUCCAGACCAGGAGGUUCCAUACUGAGCCAUCUCCUGCCCCUUUGUCGCACACCUCGGUCAUUUCCUCUGGUCUGUCUUUCUAUUUACAGAUGUUUCCAUAGACAUGAAGAUAUAAUUGUGCUCAUGCCGCUUCCCAGCCACUCUCCAGAAGAAAGCGUCCGCGUGGCGGGAGGGCAAACACUUCACAGAAGAGGGGCCCUUUAUCUCAGCACCUACAUUUAAUUUCUAAAAUCAUUUUAUGAAGCCUCCGUGUGGAUUAGCCUGGACAGGGCAG